UGAAUUUUGAGCAGGUUGAAUUUUUGGGGAAAUGUUCAAUUUACAGGGGAGACUCUGCCAAAAUUUUGGUAGAAAGUCUCGAUCCUUAGUAAGUGGGCCCGACAUCGGGGAGAUGUCAGUAACGAUAUGGGAUUCGCUUCGGUUUCAGGGACGAGUCCUGUCCGCUAAAAUUGUCACAUCCCGGGAUCAACUCCGCCGUAGCACGAUAUUGUCCGCUUUGGGCCCCCC
rnacentral:lncRNA from 1 species